rnacentral:misc_RNA from 1 species
GAUGAAGAACGUAGCGAAAUGCGAUAAGUAAUGUGAAUUGCAGAAUCCAGUGAAUCAUCGAAUCUUUGAACGCACAUUGCGCCCGCCAGUCUUCUGGCGGGCAUGCCUGUCCGAGCGUCAUUUCAACCAUCAAGCCCCAGGCUUGUGUUGGGGACCUGCGUCCGACGCAGGCCCUGAAAACCAGUGGCGGGCUCGCUGUCCACACCGAGCGUAGUAACUAACCUCGCUACGGGAGCGGCGCGGGCGCCUGCCGUAAAACCCCCAAUUUUCACAAGGUUGACCUCGGAUCAGGUAGGAAUACCCGCUGAACUUAAGCAUAUCAAUAAGCGGAGGA